CGCUUACUGCUGUGUUCGCCAGCCUGACGACAUAGUUUGCGGCGCCGAUGAACGUGCCAGGGGAGGACCUUCUCGUCCUGUCAAUAAUUCAAGCCCUCCCACUUCGUUGAGGGACGGGUUGGACAGGCCGGAAACCACCCACCUUGCUUAUCAAGGGUGCACAAACUGUUCAGCGCAGCGACACGAGUGGUUUGCUG
rnacentral:other from 1 species